AAUGCUGAAGCUUCCAGAAUAUGGCACGUCUCUUGAAGUCUCUGCGCAUGUUUGGUUUUCUCCCCUUGGAACGCCUUUCUCCUGUUGUGCCAUCCGGCAGACUCCUAUCGAUCCUUCAAAACCCAGCUCAGACACUGCUGCCUCUGAGAAGCUCUCUGGCAUUCUUCCCUGAAUUCCCUUACACACCUGGCACCCGUGACCCCCAACCCGUGUCCGCGAAUGCGGAAAAGAAUGAGGAGGCGACAGACAAGAGCUAAGCAGGAAAACGUAGAAAGAGCUGCUAUGCUUUUUUGCGAGUGUUGUGGUGCGUUCUGCUCUGACCAUCUGUCCCAGUGGACCCGGGCUUUCGCUGGUGUCAAUUCCUAUUUCCCAAGAGCCACACCUGCCGUUCAUAACGCACCCCCUCGCUGGGCGGAAAACUGCAAGACAGAUCGUUCCCGGGUCUCCAAAGAGCCCCACGGGCUGAACAGGUUGCAGGCGUGUCUGGGAUCUAAUGCGUUUACACCAGCUAAGGGGGAAAGAAGAGCUAGUGAGCUGUCAACGUCCUUUCGCCUGUGCCUGGGAUCAGCUGACUUUGAGAUCCAUGAUCGAAAGCCUGAGAAGUGAUGCAAAGCCCAGGAGCACGGAGGAAACACCUCACCAGAGGUCAGCCGUCGUUCGCUGACUUCCCCACCGUCCCGACGAUGACCUGACUUAAGACAGUGUAAUGGCGGCUGAGACUAGUGGGGCUGAAGGGGUGGGCAAGGCAGCCCUGCAGUGAGAACCAGGCAGCCUUAAGGUGGGAUUUCCAGCCCCGCUGCUUACUCAGCAGGUCACUUGGUAUCUCUGGGCCUCAGUUUCCCCAUCUGUGAAAUGGAGGCAGUAAGGCCCCCCUCUAAGGGGGAAUGUGAGGAUCAGAUGAGAGGCCGAGGGCGUGGCACCUGGCACCGGCCUGGCCCACAGCAGGUGCUCCUUGAGGGCAAGCUGCCUUCCCUUUCUCCAGGUGACAGGUCAGGACCUGCUGCUCAGGUCGGAAGCCUGGACUUGAGAUUGGACACAGGGCACCCAGCCUCAAGUUGCAGCCCUUGAACACGACUCAUUUCAGAGCCUGAGUCUUUACUCUUCUGGAGGACGAGACUGGUCUCCCAAUGGAGGACAGACACGUCCUCUGCUCCCCUGCCUGCACUGGCCCGUGCCACCCACGUUCUCCCCCUCGCCCCCACCUCCUUCCGUGCUGCGGAAUGGAAGGCCUGGGCCGGUUUCCUGGACCGACGGGUAGUGACAGGCAGCCUGGGCCUGCAGAGAGCGGAGGCUCUAGGUAGCAGGGACCUCGCGCAGGAGUCUGAGGGGGUGUGGAGGAGCCACCUGGGGAACUGAGGUGCCAGAAGGGUAGGGGCUGCUGCUAGCAGAGAGGGACAAAGAUCUGGUGGCCGUGCAUAGUUUAAACAAGAAGUCACCAACUCCAGAGUCCCCAGGGGACUAGGCAGGGAGAUAAAUGAGAGCAGGCUUCCCAUCUAUAAAGCGCUUAGAACAGCAUGGGAACAGGGUCAACAAAGUGAGUUUCUGAAGCACCCCUGGCCUUGACUAAGCCUCACGGUGCACUGUCUCCUCUGCCAGAAUGGAAGCUCCAGGAGGGCAGGGGACAGCCUUCCCCCGAAUGCCCCAAACAUGCCUGGCACUUGGCACACACUCAAAGCAUGGGGCCACCUGGCAAAGCCAACGGCUCAGAUGGGUGGCACUAAGCUGCUGUUGGAUUUUCGCUUCUUUCUCCUUCCCUUCCUUCC